CCUACGGGUGGCAGCAGUGAGGAAUAUUGGUCAAUGGACGAGAGUCUGAACCAGCCAAGUAGCGUGAAGGAUGACUGCCCUAUGGGUUGUAAACUUCUUUUAUAUGGGAAUAAAAUGUUCCACGUGUGGGAUUUUGUAUGUACCAUAUGAAUAAGGAUCGGCUAACUCCGUGCCAGCAGCCGAGGUAAUACGGAGGAUCCGAGCGUUAUCCGGAUUUAUUGGGUUUAAAGGGAGCGUAGGUGGAUUGUUAAGUCAGUUGUGAAAGUUUGCGGCUCAACCGUAAAAUUGCAGUUGAAACUGGCAGUCUUGAGUACAGUAGAGGUGGGCGGAAUUCGUGGUGUAGCGGUGAAAUGCUUAGAUAUCACGAAGAACUCCGAUUGCGAAGGCAGUUCACUGGACUGCAACUGACACUGAGGCUCGAAAGUGUGGGUAUCAAACAGGAUUAGAUACCCUAGUAGUC
rnacentral:rRNA from 1 species